GUCGAUUUCUUCCCAAAGUUGUGCUGCAAACCGGUCCAAAUUAAAAACCCUCAAAAAGCAAGAAGCUGAAAAACCCUGAAUUUUGGCAAGCAUACAAAUUGGAACAAGAACCAGAGUGUUUUGUACAGAAAUGUUUCGAAGAAGAUUCCUCUCGUUUCCUUUGGUAAUUGGAGCAGCCGUGAUUGGAGUUGUUUCAGGCAAGGCAAUAUUUGGACCCCCACUUGAUGAGUACUGGAAAAAGAAGCAGCAGGAAGACGUGGCGGCAAAGGAGACUGAUGCAAGCUCAAAUUAACCAAUACUUUCUGGAACUUCUCAUGUUCGGUUGUUUUGUAGAGGAGUAUAGCGAUGGGAUGGGAAUUGGUUAUUAAUUCAUUUGUUCGCACUUAAACAGUAGGAUCACGGCAACAGCUACAGCUACAGGUACUUUUUUGAACGCGUUACGCAUGGGAUCUCGGACAUUUAUUGUGAUGGAAAACAGAAUACUAAACAGGAUUGGAAACCGAUAUCAUUGAACUAUCGAUCAUUAGUCUCGGCUCUUCAGGAUGGAAGAAUUCUGUAUAAGACCAGUGCCAUUGUCAGAGGAAAUUCAUUCUACUGGUUAACCAUUCCAUCCCUUCUCUGAGACGCCAUUGUGAUCGAGAGCUCAACGAUAUUGAUUUCCGAUCCUGUUACUAUUCCGUUUUCCAUCAUGUUGAAACUAUCACAGUGGAGGUACUCAAAACUAAGUACCUGCUGAAUUGUAUUUAAUUUGUAACAUUUCAAUAAAUACCUUUUUUUGAGCUUUGCUGAUAUAAA